UCCCUGAUGGUCCAGCAGUUAAGACUGUACUCCCAAUGCAGGGGGCCCAGGUUUGAUCCCUGGUCAGGGAA
rnacentral:tRNA from 1 species